UAGAAUAAGCACUUAUCCAGGUCAGUGGUCCUCCACUGAAAUGAAACCCAAACAUGAGAACAGGAGCCGCGAGCUCCGGUGCUCAUCUGUGAGCGUUUGCAAGUUCCCUCCUGCCCUGAGUCGACCCUGCAGUGAUGUGUCGAGGAGACAAAACAGUAACCACAGGGAGAGGAUGUCAAAGGCCAAGAUGGAUGACGUCAGUGACCACGACAUCUAUAUACAUCCACCGAUCUACGCAUGUACACAGUCAGCGCCUGACAAGGUUCAGACUGUCACACUGGGAUUGCUGUAGCUCUGAAGAGGGUCGUGGACCUCUGCCGGUUAAUCUUCUGCUAAUGGCCACAUUCAAAGGCCCAGGUGUGUCACACACCUGUGCUUUGGUUGAGGCGCGCAACCAGACAGAUUCUCACCCUUGGUCUCCUCCCACAUGGACAUGGACACCCGGGCAACUUCAAUAUGGAGAGGCAUCAGUGGUCCUCCACUGAAAUGAAACCCAAACAUGAGAACAGGAGCCGCGAGCUCCGGUGCUCAUUUGUGAGCGUUUGCAAGUUCACUCCUGCCCUGAGUCGACCCUGCAGGGAUGUGUCGAGGAGACAAAACAGUAACCACAGGAAGAUGGUGUCAAAGGCCAAGAUGGAUGACAUCAGUGACCACGACAUCUAUAUACAUCCACCGAUCUACGCAUGUACACAGUCUGUGCCAGACAACUUCAAUAUGGAGAGGCAUCCAGGAGGCAUCCGGACGAGAUGAAUUUCAUUGAUGAACUCAUCACAUGGGGGAGCACGAUUGUGAUGAGGUCAGAUGUUUCUUUGUUUGUUAGAUUGAGACCCUCAAUCUCUGAUCUUUUCACCUGACAUUAAGAUGAGAGUCCAAAAAUCCUGCUUAUCUGCAGGUAGACCAACUUCUGCUCAGUUCACUCACCUCCUCGUGACUAAUGGCUGUCUCCAAAUCUGAUGCUCCAUUUUUCUCACACUUGUGAGACACUUGUGACCCUGAGAAUAGCCGACCCAAACAAGGCGUUCACAUCAGUCAGAUGUAGUGCUUCAGGACUUGGCCGUCCAACCUUUCCACCAUAAAAUACAGCCGCUAUUGAGCAGCAUCCAGUUCUCCAUCUGGCUGAAGCGGUCAGUGAGUCAGCCGCCGGGCUUGGGUUGAAGGCAUCUGUGAGUCAAAACCCGUGUGAAUUGGAUGGGUAACCUCAAGAGGCACAACUAAGUGUGAGACACAAUUCACUGUCAAGAAAUUAUGGUGUGAUAAAUCAGGCAAUACUGUGCAUAAGUAGUUCUCAACUGUAGUGCUUGUUUAAUGCAAAAUUGUGUUUAUAUUCCUUAGAAAAACAGGGUACCUACUACCUACACUAUAUAUGACAUCAACAAUUGUUGAAAAGAUUGAGUGAGCACACGCUAACUCUGAUAAUAUACAAUAUACAAUCUGUAGACUUUUAUAUAUGUAUUUCUUUUUAUAGCAAAGUGGUUGAUGAGAUGACCUCAGCCUCACUGUCACCAAAAAGCAACAUAAGAAGCUUCUAUUGAAGGAAACAACCCAGGCAUUUAGACCUUUGAGCUCAGCGCUUUUUCCAGUCCUGAACCAACCGUGAAUCAGUGUCUGGCUGCUGUUGAGAAAAGACUGAACAUGACGCUUCACAUUAUACUCGCCAAACAUAUCUCCUGCUGCCUUUACUUCAGCAAUGGUGGUUCCUCCUCCACCUUCAAAUUCGACGCCUCUGAGGGAGUGUAACGGAAGGACCUGUGUUUCUCAUUUCGAUUGACAGACAGAAGUCGGCUCGUCACCUGCAGGGCUUUCAAUAACGACUUGUCCUCACUUGCAAGCUUCAGUUAUAUAGCUCUAAAUUCUUUGUGCAUUUCCCUCAUUGUCUUAUAGUUUACAUACACACAUAGUCAGUUAACCACCACUUAGUCCUGUUGAGGGUUUCGGGGAGUGUUGGAGCCUAUCCCAGCAGUCAUUGGGCGAUAUAUAUCUAUCUAUAGAGAGAGAGAGAGAUGCAUAUAUAGGUAUAUGUACACUUCAUUACAAUAAUUCUGAGGGUCGUAAAUCACAAAUCCAUGCACGCCUGUUAUCAUGAACCAUUUUGAAGAUGAUUUGGUGACUGCUUUUGUUUGCCAUUAAAGCCGUAGAAGUUUCACUCGAACCUGUUGCAAACAUCAUUAGGCUAAGGAAAUGGACUUAAACACUAAAGCAGAUGACAAAAGCAUGUCCUCUCCUCCCUCCUG